UAACCCAGCUGAAAUUCUGCGCUGUCUCUUUAAAUCUGCCGGUUCCCCUUGCACUGCGUAACUGCAGUGACGUGUCACUUUCACUUUGAAAGGCGUGUCAAAACGCCAAUGAGAGAUGCAUUCGUGGGGAAGCUCGGCUGUGUACCGCUGUAGCAGAUUGGCGUUCAUCACCGGAAGCCGGGAAAAUUAAAUCAGCGCGAUUAGUGAAGCGUGAACUGGCCAGGUCGCUUGACUGGUUGUGUCUGAAGAUUUUGGAGUGCUCACCCAGAGCAUUGGAUGCAGUAUCGACUGGGGAGUCUACCACUCCCAGAAAACAGUGAGGAUAAAACCUCUGUGGAUGGCGAGCUAAAAGGAGCCCGAUAUUAGACCGGAAUCUACCAUCCUACCACCAGUGCGGUAGGACUAACCCCCCACACUCUACAACAACUCAUCCGGAGUGCAUUUUUCUUUCUUUUUUUUAUCUCCGCCAACUGGAGUACCCAGACUCUUUCUCAUCACAACUCUCUCUACGAACUAAUAGAAAAAAAAACAUCAUCAGGACUGAAGUGUUUUGUUCAUGUGUGUUGUAAAUUUUGAAUUCACUGUAUAUUGUAAAUACAUUCGCAUCAGCAACUCACCUUUAGCCUUGUCUGUUGUUUUUAAGCAUUCACUGUCCUCCCUGAGUCGAACCUUUCUAGCCCAAACCAACAACUUCUGAAUAAUAUUAAUUCAUGCAUGCUACACGUACACCUCA